CCUACGGGUCGCAGCAGUGGGGAAUAUUGGACAAUGGGGGCAACCCUGAUCCAGCAAUGCCGCGUGUGUGAAGAAGGUCCUCGGAUUGUAAAGCACUUUUGGCAGGGACGAUGAUGACGGUACCUGCAGAAUAAGCCCCGGCUAACUUCGUGCCAGCAGCAGCGGUAAUACGAAGGGGGCUAGCGUUGCUCGGAAUGACUGGGCGUAAAGGGCGCGUAGGCGGCACACACAGUCAGAUGUGAAAUUCCUGGGCUCAACCUGGGGACUGCAUUUGAUACGUGUGAGCUAGAGUGGAGAAGAGGGUUGUGGAAUUUCCAGUGUAGAGGUGAAAUUCGUAGAUAUUGGAAAGAACACCGGUGGCGAAGGCGGCAACCUGGUCUUUAACUGACGCUGAGGCGCGAAAGCGUGGGGAGCAAACAGGAUUAGAUACCCUUGUAGUC
rnacentral:rRNA from 1 species